rnacentral:tRNA from 1 species
GGCGGCGUGGCCGAGUGGUUCAGGCAGAGGUCUGCAAAACCUCUUACUCCGGUUCAAUUCCGGACGCCGCCU